UGUGUGUGUUUGUGGCCAUUCGCGCCCUGUUCAGACCUGCUAUUAACAUGUGUCCUCAGUGAUCGGAUCACAAGUGGACAGCUUUAAGUACGUCUGUUCACACCUGACAUUAGAAUGUGUCUCCAUAUGUGUCUUCAGUGGUCACUUGUGAUCCGAUCUUACUUCCCCGCUCCAUAUGC